GCCAGCAGCUAGCUCUCUGCAACUCUCACAUGGAAGCUAAGCAGGGCUGUGCCCGGUCAGUACCUGGAUGGGAGACCACAUGGGAUAGCUAGGUUGCUGCAGGAA
rnacentral:rRNA from 1 species